UACAGAGGUCUCAAGCGUUGUUCGGAUUCAUUGGGCGUAAAGGGCGCGUAGGCGGCGCGGUAAGUCGGAUGUGAAAUCUCGGAGCUUAACUUCGAAACUGCAUUCGAUACUGCCGUGCUUGAGGACUGGAGAGGAGACUGGAAUUUACGGUGUAGCGGUGAAAUGCGUAGAUAUCGUAAGGAAGACCAGUGGCGAAGGCGGGUCUCUGGACAGUUCCUGACACUGAGGCACGAAGGCCAGGGGAGCAAACGGG
rnacentral:rRNA from 1 species